GUUACUUGUGAGAGGCUGAGGUCUCCAUUCCAUGAAAUUACACGAGGUAUGAAAAGGAAGCUCACUUCACAAAACAGAGAUGGUGAGCCUUGUGACAGAAAUGAAGUGAGUGUAUGUUAUGCAAUUGAAGAAAUGGCCUUCUGCAGGCUGUCAGUGACAGAUACCAGCUCACUCACAUCGAUAAAGCUCAAUUAGCUGCUGGAGAAAGCGUCUUUUUAAAAUGUAAUGAGCUGCACCUUGGAAGAAGGGUAGACAAAUGUUAGACAUAAACAAAAUAAAACCUUAAUGUGAACAAGUAAGAAUACCAUGGCAGCCAUGAUAAAAUCUUUUUUCUUUUAUUCUGUGCUUUUUAUUACUUUGUGCUUUUGUUAUAUAAAGACUCUUUAUUAAUCUGUUGAAAAAGAUACUUUUUUUUU